rnacentral:rRNA from 1 species
AUUGAACGCUGGCGGCAGGCCUAACACAUGCAAGUCGAACGAGUGGCGGACGGGUGAGUAAUGUCUGGGAAACUGCCUGAUGGAGGGGGAUAACUACUGGAAACGGUAGCUAAUACCGCAUACCAUCAGAUGUGCCCAGAUGGGAUUAGCUAGUAGGUGGGGUAACGUCUCACCUAGGCGACGAUCCCUAGCUGGGCUGAGAGGAUGACCAGCAACACUGGAACUGAGACACGGCCCAGACUCCUACGGGAGUCAGCAGUGGGGAAUAUUGCACAAUGGGCGCAAGCCUGAUGCAGCAAGGCCGCGUGUAUGAAGAAGGCCUUCGGGUUGUAAAGUACUUUCAGCGGGGAGGCGUUACCCGCAGAAGAAGCACCGGCUAACUCCGUGCCAGCAGCCGCGGUAAUUC